CUCUAGCAAAGAUUCAUAUCUUAAAGGUUGCAUAACCUUCCCAAGCACCACCAGCAGCCAGGACCCAUGAGCCUGUGGGGAUACUUCAUGGCCAAUGCAGACCGUGGUUGGCAUCGGUUACUUUUCUGUCUCUGUGACUGGACACCUGACCUCCGGAAACUUAGCAUCAUCAUGACCUAUACGUCCCGUGGAGGACAAGAUGUCCAUGGAAGCCUCUGUGUGUACACACUGGUCUGUGUCACCUUUUACCCUGGGGAAAAAAAUGAUUGGUGUAGGAUUUUGUUCCCACAGACAGCUUCUGCAAAAAAAAUAACCCACCCUGAGACCUCAAAGGUAAUAGCAAGGAAGUACCAGAAAUUGAAUUUAUUGGAUAUAUAGUAAUGUGUCUCAAAGCAAGGCCCACUGUCUGCAUGAAGUUACGGUAUUAGCAUAUUGCAAUUUCAUAUCAAUAAUAAUUGAGACAUAAUCAAAGCAUAAUGUAGACGAUCCUUUGUUUAUUUUGUUCUGCUUGUAUGUUUUUGUUUUUUAGUGCUUAUCUGUGUUUUAUCUGCCAACGUAUCUGACUUCACAACAUACGCAUGCCUGGCCCAUGUGGAGGAUGGACAGGGACCUGGAUCCCCUGGAACUGAAAUUACAGACAGCUGUGAGCUUCUUCUUGGGAUCUGGGAACUGAACCCAGGUUGUCCGGAAGAGCAGCCAGUGCUCUUAACCACUGAGCCAUCUCUCCAGCACUGCUUUGUCUUGUUUUUGAGACAGGGUCUCCCUAUGUGUCAAUCCUCCUGGCUCAUCCUUCCUAGCUGUGAUGACAGUGGUGUGCCACCUUGCCCUAAGUUAUUACAUUUGAUUUAAUGCUUAGUAAAGGAGUUGAUAAAGAAGAGGAAGGCUGUGUGACUACAAGCCAGUAGUCAAGUUCUUCUGUCCUAUUUUGGGGUCCUGGGAAUCGAACUUAGGUCAUCUGGCUUGGCAGCAAGCUCCUGUACCUGCUGAGCCUCCUUGCCACCUGUCCCUCUUUACAAAUAUCCUAUAUUAUAGACAGGACCUGAUGAAAUGACUUCCCGGUGAAAGGAAACGAUGAAAAUUAUGGGAGUCAAAGAUAAUACUGUAAAAAUUCUCAGCUAAGAACUGAAGAAAAAAGGUCAUAGUUUGAGUAAAAUAAAGACCAAAUAAAGGCAAAAGACCAACCCAGGGAGGAACAGUCCGACAGCUCCAUCCAGCAUCAAUUAAAUCAUUCGUGUAUAUAGAUGCUUUUAUUUCAUUUAAAAGAAACAGAUAAUAUUACCA
ensembl:lincRNA